UGGGGAAUCUUGCACAAUGGGGGAAACCCUGAUGCAGCGACGCCGCGUGAACGAUGAAGCCCUUCGGGGUGUAAAGUUCUUUCGACAGGAACGAUAAUGACGGUACCUGGAGAAGAAGCUGCGGCUAACUACGUGCCAGCAGCCGCGGUAAUACGUAGGCAGCGAGCGUUGUUCGGAGUUACUGGGCGUAAAGAGUGCGUAGGCGGCGAGCCAAGUUUGGUGUGAAAUCUCCCGGCUUAACCGGGAGGGUGCGCCGAAAACUGGUUGGCUGGAGUAUGGGAGAGNAAAGCGGAAUUCCUGGUGUAGCGGUGAAAUGCGUAGAUAUCAGGAGGAACACCUGCGGUGUAGACAGCUUUCUGGACCAAAACUGACGCUGAGGCACGAAAGCGUGGGUAGCAAACA
rnacentral:rRNA from 1 species